rnacentral:rRNA from 1 species
GCGAUGAAGUUUCUUCGGAAAUGGAUUAGCGGCGAACGGGUGAGGAACACGUGAAGAAUCUGCCCUCCACUUUGGGAUAACACAGGGAAACCUGUGCUAAUACCGAAUAUUGAAACAUAAGUGGCAUCACUGAGUUUUGAAAGAAUUUCGGUGGAGGAUGACUUCGCGGCCUAUCAGCUAGUUGGUGAGGUAAUGGCUCACCAAGGCAACGACGGGUAGCCGGCCUGAGAGGGCGACCGGCCACACUGGGACUGAGACACGGCCCAGACUCCUACGGGAGGCAGCAGUGGGGAAUAUUGGGCAAUGGAGGAAACUCUGACCCAGCGACGCCGCGUGCGGGAUGAAGGCCUUCGGGUUGUAAACCGCUUUCAGUAGGGAAGAAGCGAAAGUGACGGUACCUACAAAAGAAGCACCGGCUAACUAUGUGCCAGCAGCCGCGGUAAUACAUAGGGUGCAAGCGUUGUCCGGAAUUAUUGGGCGUAAAGAGCUCGUAGGUUGUUUGUUACGUCGGAUGUGAAAACCUGAGGCUCAACCUCAGGCCUGCAUUCGAUACGGGCAAACUAGAGUUUGGUAGGGGAGACUGGAAUUCCUGGUGUAGCGGUGGAAUGCGCAGAUAUCAGGAGGAACACCAAUGGCGAAGGCAGGUCUCUGGGCCAAUACUGACACUGAGGAGCGAAAGUCUGGGGAGCGAACAGGAUUAGAUACCCUGGUAGUCCAGACCGUAAACGGUGGGCACUAGUUGUGGGGACCUUCCACGGUCUCUGCGACGCAGCUAACGCAUUAAGUGCCCCGCCUGGGGAGUACGAUCGCAAGAUUAAAACUCAAAGGAAUU